rnacentral:misc_RNA from 1 species
UCCGAGUUGACCCCGGCAGUCUCCCACGAGUCCCCGGCAUAACCCGCUGGCAACAUGGGACAAGGGUUGCGCUCGUUGCGGGACUUAACCCAACAUCUCACGGCACGAGCUGACGACAGCCAUGCACCACCUGUGCACUAGCCCCGAAGGGCUGCCGUAUUUCUACGACAUUCCAGUGCAUGUCGAGCCUUGGUAAGGUUCUUCGCGUUGCGUCGAAUUAAACCACAUGCUCCGCUGCUUGUGCGGGCCCCCGUCAAUUCCUUUGAGUUUUAGCCUUGCGGCCGUACUCCCCAGGCGGGGUACUUAAUGCGUUAGCUGCGGCACAGGAGGGGUCGAUACCUCCUACACCUAGUGCCCACCGUUUACGGCUAGGACUAC